rnacentral:rRNA from 1 species
AUACGUAGGGGGCGAGCGUUGUCCGGAAUUACUGGGCGUAAAGGGUGCGUAGGCGGAUAUGCAAGUCCGAUGUGAAAUGCCUCGGCUUAACCGAGGAGCUGCAUUGGAAACUGCGUAUCUAGAGUGCAGGAGAGGGAAGCGGAAUUCCUAGUGUAGCGGUGAAAUGCGUAGAUAUUAGGAGGAACACCAGUGGCGAAGGCGGCUUCCUGGACUGUAACUGACGCUGAGGCACGAAAGCUGGGGGAGCAAACAGGAUUAGAUACCCUGGUAGUCCCAGCCGUAAACGAUGGGUACUAGGUGUUGCAGCUUUAGAUAGCUGCAGUGCCGUAGUUAACGCAAUAAGUACCCCGCCUGGGGAGUACGGCCGCAAGGCUGAA